rnacentral:rRNA from 1 species
UACGUAGGGUGCGAGCGUUAAUCGGAAUUACUGGGCGUAAAGCGUGCGCAGGCGGUUUUGUAAGCCAGGUGUGAAAUCCCCGGGCUCAACCUGGGAAUGGCAUUUGGGACUGCAAGGCUUGAGUGCGGCAGAGGAGACUGGAAUUCCUGGUGUAGCAGUGAAAUGCGUAGAUAUCAGGAGGAAUACCGAUGGCGAAGGCAGGUCUCUGGGCUGACACUGACGCUCAUGCACGAAAGCGUGGGGAGCAAACAGG